GACGAACGCUGGCGGCGUGCCUAAUACAUGCAAGUCGAGCGCAGGAAAUCGACGGAACCCUUCGGGGGGAAGUCGACGGAAUGAGCGGCGGACGGGUGAGUAACACGUAAAGAACCUGCCCUCAGGUCUGGGAUAACCACGAGAAAUCGGGGCUAAUACCGGAUGGGUCAUCGGACCGCAUGGUCCGAGGAUGAAAGGCGCUUCGGCGUCGCCCGGGGAUGGCUUUGCGGUGCAUUAGCUAGUUGGUGGGGUAAUGGCCCACCAAGGCGACGAUGAAUAGCCGACCUGAGAGGGUGAUCGGCCACACUGGGACUGAGACACGGCCCAGACUCCUACGGGAGGCAGCAGUAGGGAAUCUUCCACAAUGGACGAAAGUCUGAUGGAGCAACGCCACGUGAACGAUGAAGGCCUUCGGGUCGUAAAGUUCUGUUGUAAGGGAAGAACAAGUGCCGCAGGCAAUGGCGGCACCUUGACGGUACCUUGCGAGAAAGCCCCGGCUAACUACGUGCCAGCAGCCGCAGUAA
rnacentral:rRNA from 1 species